CAACGAUGACGAUAGUGGCAAUCAUUUAUUAAGCAUUGCCCUGGCCUAAGACACCACAUGGGUCAUUUCUUCCAGGCUCCAACUUGCUUCUGCUUUGCCAUAUGGUAACACGCCGUAUUAUGGAAGCACCAUCAUUACCGCCAUUUGCAGGGGAAGCCUAAAGAGAUAAAUGCCAGCCAGCAUCCCUGUCUCUGGGGCCCUGGAGAGGCCUUCAACACACCUGGCCUCACUGCCCUGUGGCUUCAACAAAGAGGCCGAGCAUCUCCUAUAAACCUUGAGGUCCAUGGAUGACAUAGCGGAAUGAUGGAUUUCAGAAAAGGCAGGUGCUUCCCACUCUUUAAAUUUUUGUUUAUUCUUUCCAAGUUUCCCAUCAACAGCCCUGCAGUAAAAAUUCAGGGCUUCAGAGACAAAUAUUUCAUGAGUACAGACUGUGAUGAGGAAAAGCAAGCCAUUCCCUCUCUAUCAGGAUCCAGAGCACACUGCUGUUACGACUCCAGAACCGAUAAGGAAGCUAUGUGUGGAAGUAUGAGCUCAGGUCGCCUUCUGACCCUCUGUGACGGUCUAUUUCAGGCAGUUAUGGAUAGAUAACAUUACAGACACUGGGAUCUUUAACAAGUGACACAAACAAGAGAAGAAGCAGACAGGACCAUUUAACUUCAAACUCCACCGAAGAGAGCUGAAUUGUAAGCUUCCUACAGCAAGCCCGGCUGGCGGCUAUGUGGCAGUCUUCAUUUCUCAGCGGAAAAGCCACUCCCUUGAGACUCUCCAGGCACCCCCCAACCGCAUUUUUUAUCAAGUGUCUAAAAGACACAAUGAACAAAAACCAGAGCUUUUGAAUACAGAUUUCCAGUAAAACCAAACCCAGCUUGGGUCAGAUGCACCUUUCCAGCAACCACCAUCUCAGCAACAACCUGCCAGCUGUCAACUGGAAGUUCAGCUUCUGGGAACUUCAGCCCCCUUCUCAGAGGAGCAAGGUCCUAGCACCAACAGCACCUGCAGUGGAGCCCAAGUAUGGCUGCUUCAUGGAGAAGGCAGAUAUUGAAAUGUGAUCACUGAGGCUCAGUGGGAAUCCCUUUGCUCUCAAACUCCCCGAUGCAAUGCCUUCUGAUUUCAACAGAAAAGCAAGAGGCUCCAGGCACCCCAUUCAGGGACUGCCACCAAAGUACCCGCAAAUCCUUCAUGAAAGGGGAGACAUUGACACAUUCUUUUUUUAUUCUCUGGUAGGUAUCUGUUUGCGUGCAAAUCCGUGAGUGCUUGCAUCUCGUGUAUUUGAAAAUCCUGUUUAAGAAUGCAGAGGUCCAUAUAGUGUCAUUAAAACAAAUGAGUAUAACCCUUUGGUCA
rnacentral:lncRNA from 1 species